rnacentral:rRNA from 1 species
GGAAUCUUGCGCAAUGGGGGAAACCCUGACGCAGCGACGCCGCGUGCGGGAUGAAGGCCCUCGGGUUGUAAACCGCUUUCAGCAGGGACGAAAUUGACGGUACCUGCAGAAGAAGGCCCGGCCAACUACGUGCCAGCAGCCGCGGUAAUACGUAGGGGCCAAGCGUUGUCCGGAUUUAUUGGGCGUAAAGAGCUCGUAGGUGGUUCGGAAAGUCAGUUGUGAAAUCUCCGCGCUCAACGCGGAGGGGUCAGCUGAAACUGCCGUGACUUGAGUCUGGUAGGGGAGUGUGGAAUUCCCGGUGUAGCGGUGAAAUGCGCAGAUAUCGGGAGGAACACCAGUGGCGAAGGCGGCACUCUGGGCCAGUACUGACACUGAGGAGCGAAAGCGUGGGGAGCGAAC